UCGGGAAUUUUGCCCAAUGAGCGAAAGCUUGAGGCAGCAACUCCGCGUGAGGGAUGAAGGCUCUAGGGUCGUAAACCUCUUUUCUCAGGGAAGAUACAAGACGGUACCUGAGGAAUAAGGAUCGGCUAACUCCGUGCCAGCAGCCGCGGUCAUACGGGGGAUCCAAGCGUUAUCCGGAAUUACUGGGCGUAAAGAGUUGCGUAGGUGGCAUAGUAAGCAAAUAGUGAAAUCGUGGGGCUCAACCCCAUAUACAUUAUUUGAACUGCUAAGCUAGAGGACGAGAGAGGUCGCUGGAAUUCCUAGUGUAGGAGUGAAAUCCGUAGAUAUUAGGAGGAACACCGAUGGCGUAGGCAGGCGACUGGCUCGUUCCUGACACUGAGGCACGAAAGCGUGGGGAGCAAA
rnacentral:rRNA from 1 species